UGAGGGAAUAUUUGGGGUCAAUGGGCGAGAGCCUGAACCAGCCAAGUCGCGUGAGGGAUGACGGCCCUACGGGUUGUAAACCUCUUUUAUAAGGGAAUAAAGGACAUCACGUGUGGUGUUUUGCAUGUACCUUAUGAAUAAGCAUCGGCUAACUCCGUGCCAGCAGCCGCGGUAAUACGGAGGAUGCGAGCGUUAUCCGGAUUCAUUGGGUUUAAAGGGUGCGUAGGUUGCCGAUUAAGUCAGCGGUGAAAGUCAGUGGCUCAACCAUUGAACUGCCGUUGAAACUGGUUGGCUUGAGUACGUACGGGGCAGGCGGAAUGCGUGGUGUAGCGGUGAAAUGCAUAGAUAUCACGAAGAACUCCGAUUGCGAAGGCAGCUCACGGU
rnacentral:rRNA from 1 species